UACGUAGGGUGCAAGCGUUGUCCGGAAUUAUUGGGCGUAAAGAGCUCGUAGGCGGCCUGUUGCGUCCGCUGUGAAAUCCCGGGGCUUAACCCCGGGCUUGCAGUGGAUACGGGCAGGCUGGAGGCAGGCAGGGGAGAACGGAAUUCCCGGUGUAGCGGUGAAAUGCGCAGAUAUCAGGAGGAACACCGGUGGCGAAGGCGGGUCUCUGGGCCGAUACUGACGCUGAGGAGCGAAAGCGUGGGGAGCGAACAGG
rnacentral:rRNA from 1 species